rnacentral:rRNA from 1 species
UACGGAGGAUCCAAGCGUUAUCCGGAUUUAUUGGGUUUAAAGGGUGCGUAGGCGGAUAAAUAAGUCAGUGGUGAAAGCCUGCAGCUUAACUGCAGAACUGCCAUUGAUACUGUUUAUCUUGAAUAUAGUUGAGGUGGGCGGAAUAUGACAUGUAGUGGUGAAAUACUUAGAUAUGUCAUAGAACACCGAUUGCGAAGGCAGCUCACUAAGCUAUGAUUGACGCUGAGGCACGAAAGCGUGGGUAGCAAACAGG